UGUUUGCUUGUCUGAUUGUCUUGGUCUUUGUUAUUUGUACUAUUUAAAAAUCCUUAAAAAUACAUGUAUAAAAAAGAAAUUGACACAAUGUUGUUUUGGAUAUAUUCAUCCUUUACAGUGUCUUAUGACUACAUACAUCUUAUGACCACUGUGCAUGAACACAAAAGGUCAAAAAGGCAAAUACAGUCUGAUCAGUCUGUGAACAUACUGCAUUAUAAUUGCACUUUAAUCUGUUUUUCAGUCCAAAGAUCCAUGACGAUGAAAUCGAUGAGCUCUGCACCUCUUCGUUCUCACAUCCCCGAAACGCUCCACCAAAAAUCUCUGCGUCCUCCUACUCCACAAGAGAGAAGUGAAAGAUUACUGCGUGAGCCUCAUUAAGAAUGUUUUAUUUUGUCUGCAUUUUUUUUUCUCCCCCAUCUAUUGUCUCUCCACCCUCUCUCACAGCGAAAGUCUCGGUGGAGUCACAGCCCUGGGUGCACGGCGGCGACGAGAUAAACGCGGAAAAUCAACUGGAAGAAAACAGGGAAGCGAGAGAAGAAGAAGAAGGAAAAAAACGCACAUGCACGGCUGGCCGACGUUGGCCAAAAACUCAAAGGAGAGAUGGUUACACUGCAUCGCCAGCUUGCCUCAUCUGAAUCCCUGACUCCUGACCUCCCCUGAGGAAGGUGCUCACUGUCAGAAGAAGCCCCGGCAUCCAGCGCAGCGCAGAAAGGUGAUUCCUUUAAAGCGGAUGGAGGAGCGAGAGGAGGGGAGCUGUCGCUUGUGUCAGGUUAACCUCCGAGAAACAUCCGGAGCUCAGCAUCUGGGAGACGGAGGGGAGAGAAGAGCUCCAUUUGCGGGCGCAAGUGAGUUUUUGCAUUAAGCAUCCUGCCAUGGCUUUCAUCAGCAUUUCUUUUAUUUAUCUAUCCUUCUUCCUUUCUCACCUCCCCUGAAAUAAAAAAACAACCCCCUCCACCUCCCAAAAAAGAAAAAAAAAAAACAAGGGUAAAACGCCAAACUUUGUGCACUGUCAGUCCCACGGGCUGUGCUUAUUCCCGGAUUUAUGUUAGCAACGGUGUGGUGGUGUUAAAGAGAGAAAGAGAGAGAGCUUUGCAUGCAGAAAGGAAGGAGAUGAUACUGAUGUUUUUGCAGCACAUGUGUUAAGUCACUCACACGCCACUGUAACACCUGAAAUUGCGGCAGCUGCUGCUGUUAAACAUGCUUCUCUUGUUCCAGUUUCAACACCGCAGCAACAGAUAGCAAGUCCUGUAGAGGUCUUUAAGGUAACACAUUAUGAUGUCUGCAACUUUUUUUGUUUUUUUACUAUUGUGUAUUUAUGGUUGAAUUCAUUUGAGAAAGUGUCUUGUGAUGUGUAAGAGAAAAAUAAAAGGCAGUCACUGUAAUUACUUGUUGACUGUGUGGACGUACGCUUAAAAAAAAAAAGUACAGUAUUUAAUAGUGGAUUUAUUUUCUAAUGUUUUUUACUCUUGAUCACACAAAUCGCAAGGAAAUGCUACCAAUCUCCUACGUUUAGGAAAAAAAAGGGUAAAUGAUUACAUAAAAAAAGAAGAAGAAAAUAACAGAUGGGCCUGCCUAAAAAAAUAUGAUUUUCUACAAAUGAUUGCAUUCUCUCCCCUUUGGUGUGAAAAGUAGACUCAAGAACACUUUUAAAUAAUUUGUUCAAUUUGUUCCACAGCCAAAGAAAAGCGGCUUGGUGGAAAUUCAGAUUCAUUAAAACUUAAUUAAUAUGCAUCAUUAUGUAAAUGAGGUUGCAGUUAAUGAGUUCUUAAAAGAAGCCUUCCUUAAUUAGUUCACUUUUUAAUGGCAUCAUCAUUUAUCUUUUUUCUUUGAAGCAGAAUGACGCGAGGACCUCGCCGUUCCCGAAAGUGCUCGAAAAAUUUUCCAUUUUUUAAUUAUUCUUAUUUCCUUAAUUUUUAUAUGAUUAAGAAUGCAUUUAGGGAAGUAAAUAAAUGAGAAAAACUUAGACCUUUUUUCUCUCUCUCUCCCCUCCCAGACUCGCUUAUUUCCAUUAAAACAGAGUCUCUGUAGAUGCCGGAGUGUUUAAAAAGUUAAAGGGAACGCAUCUUCUUACAAAACAAUCAAGGCUGUCUCACGAUUACCUCCUUGGCUUGUGUCGAGUAGCUUCGUUUCUACUAAAUCUGAGCAGCGUCUUAAUUGCUCUCUCCAGUUGGGCUGCAGUAUAUAUUACCACACUCCAUUACUGUUUAUGGAGCCUGAGAUUCAUAUUGCAAAUAUGAAGAUGGCUGUGGUCAUUUCCUUCUGUAUUCAUUCUCUCGUUCAUUCAUUUACAUAUUCAAUCACUUGAAUUAUUUUUUAUUUUUGGUAAACAUAUUACGGGGAAAAUGAGUAAGCGAUCUAGUUUUAGUUCAGCACACUCGCAAAACUAAAUGAGCCGGGCACCUAACUUAGAAAAUCAUGUUUUAUUAUGUAUAUAUUUUUUUUCAGCUGUCAUAUUUGUAAAUUUGUGACCCUGGAAUGAAAGAAGAAUCAGUCUUUACAAUUAUAAAAUAAAAUCUUGCAUCACAUAUAAUGCAAACAUGAGUAGGAUAAUAUUAUAGUAGGGUAAUCGAAUUAUUCUGAUUCGAUUUGAAGAAAGUGUUUAUGAAUGUAUGUGUUUGCAAAGGUAGAUGAUGUGUGUGUGUUUGUGUAUGUUUAUGUGUGUGUGUGUGUGUGUGUGUGUGUGUGUGUGUGUGUGUGUGUGUGUGUGUGUGUGUGUGUGUGUGUGUGUGUGUGUGUGUGUGUGUGUGUGUGUGGAGGAGGAGACACUGUGUUUUAUGUUCCCGCUCACUAACCAUCACUCUGCUCCUAAUUGAUAACCACUGGCAUUUGAUCAGGCGGUCUUCAAA